GCGUCCCCCUCCCACUCACACGGACUCCCAUCACCCGCCCCCGCUCCCCCACCUUCCGCAGCCAGCCCCCCAGCCCGCGGCGCGCUGGCCGCCCUCCACUGCCCCGCCCCCAGCUCGGCCCGCAAGGACUAGGCAGAGGCUGCCCACUUCCACUUGGGGGACGAAAGGCCCGUACCCCUCUCUACACCGCGAAGAGGCCGGUCCAGGUGACUGCACCCCGGACGCUAGCGUCCGGGCCGGGAGCCACGGGUGAUGGAGGCGGGAGUGUGGCACCCGAAGCCCAGGUCCUCCGUGGGGUGGCGUGCGCGGCUCUCACUUCCACCUUCCUGGGUCCACCCUGCCUGCCACACGGUGCGCGGCUCCUCGCGUGGCCUCGCGUCUGGUCGCCUGCCCCGCGCCGCUCAUCGUGUCCUCGCGGGACCUGGAUCUGGGGCGCUUUCGUUGCAAACUACCAGGAGGGCCCUGAGUUGACUCCUCUUUCGGAUUUGUGUUAUAAAACACUCGGGGGAUGAUUGUCACUGGACAGACCGCCUCUGGCACGACGUGAAGCCUUGCUGUCACUUGCGAAGGGAUGAAAAAGCGACGGGCUGGUGGCACGGGAGGCGCAGUCAGCAGCACAGGUAGCUCAGGUCCAUGGGAACCAGUUGUCAACUGCAGUGCUGAGCUCGAGUAGAACCCAUCCUCCUUGGCCUGGAGGAGCAGCACUCCCGUGGUCGAUACACUUGGAACAAGUCGGCGUGGACAUGCACGUUCCGACGAGCCGCGGUUUCCUGGAGGCCGUGCUCCGGGAAACGACAGACACGCGGCUCGGGCUCCGGGUCCUUCCCGGAAAGCGGCGGCGGCGCAGGCCGGGGCGUCUCCGCACGCGGUCCGCCCGGGGCUCCCGACCGCCCGGCCAGGCCGAGCAGCGACGCGGCCCGAAGUCGUGCGCGCGGGCGGCGAGGGGGCGCUGUGGCCCGCGGCUGCCGCCUCGUCCCCACAGCGGUGGCCCCGGCGCCGUCCCCGGCCACCGACGGGCAGCGGGCGCCCGGGCCCUGCCACCUCCCACGUGGGUGUGAUUCGGGGAAGGACACUGACUCUGGAGCAUUUCAAUAAAAGCUAAGCCGAGCAAG